rnacentral:rRNA from 1 species
AGCGAACGCUGGCGGCAGGCCUAACACAUGCAAGUCGAACGAACUCUUCGGAGUUAGUGGCGGACGGGUGAGUAACACGUGGGAACGUGCCUUUUGGUUCGGAAUAACUCAGGGAAACUUGUGCUAAUACCGAAUAUGCCCUUCGGGGGAAAGAUUUAUCGCCAUUAGAGCGGCCCGCGUCUGAUUAGCUAGUUGGUGAGGUAACGGCUCACCAAGGCGACGAUCAGUAGCUGGUCUGAGAGGAUGACCAGCCACACUGGGACUGAGACACGGCCCAGACUCCUACGGGAGGCAGCAGUGGGGAAUCUUGCGCAAUGGGCGAAAGCCUGACGCAGCCAUGCCGCGUGAAUGAUGAAGGUCUUAGGAUUGUAAAAUUCUUUCACCGGGGACGAUAAUGACGGUACCCGGAGAAGAAGCCCCGGCUAACUUCGUG